CGGCGGACGGGUGAGUAAUGCCUAGGAAUCUGCCUGGUAUGGGGGACAACGUUUCGAAAGGAACGCUAAUACCGCAUACGUCCUACGGGAGAAAGCAGGGGACCUUCGGGCCUUGCGCUAUCAGAUGAGCCUAGGUCGGAUUAGCUAGUUGGUGAGGUAAUGGCUCACCAAGGCGACGAUCCGUAACUGGUCUGAGAGGAUGAUCAGUCACACUGGAACUGAGACACGGUCCAGACUCCUACGGGAGGCAGCAGCC
rnacentral:rRNA from 1 species